AUAUUCAAGGGUCCAAAGCACAGAAGACAACAAUCCCAGAGUCACCACCUAUCACGGGACUUGCCGGGCAUGUCAUGUAGCUCUGACGUCAUGGCUGAUAGAGGGAGUCAACAGUUCAUGUCGGCCGGUGCAGCAUAUAUCGCAAGCCAGACAUCGCGUCGCGCCGCUCCAGACUAUAGGACGUACGAGAAGCACCUGACCACAGGUGACCGCGCAUUGACUGACGGGAACCUUGACUUGGCAGAACAGGAGUUUGCGUCCGCACUGAAACUGA